ensembl:lncRNA
CUUAAGAUUGUUGAAUGAAAGCCUCUCCCAUGAAUUUACGGCACAGGAAGAUAACAUUCAAGGGAUGCCUCAGCUCCCUUAGCAGAUACCUGUUACCUCCUGAAUCAACACCCAGUGUCUCCACUGCCUGACCUCUUUGCCUCCAGCUAUCACUGCCUAUAUCCGCACCUCCCCCUCCUCUGUGUUUCACAAAGGACACUCCCCCUACCUGAAAGCCUUAAAAGCUGUAACAUUCACCCCAAUAAACGAGACCUUGACAACAGAACUUUUGCUUGGUCUCCUUCUUCUCUUCACCCCCAUUUUGGCCCACAGGUAGAAAGCCUCUUCAGGACCCUGAAUAACUGGGUCCCUGCUGGCGGGGACAAGUGGCGCCCGAACACAGGGACCCCGAAGCAAGGCUGACUACAGGACGACGGAGAUAAGAGAGCUGCAGCGGGAAUGGAGGACUCUUCAGGCCGUAUUGCUCCUGCGUUGCUGAAGAGGGAGCACAAGAAGUUUACAUUCAUGGAAUGUUUUCAGCCACAACAAGACCCUUCUGGAUCUCCAACAAGGUUUGACCCCUGCUGAGCCCUGCCCUUGCAUGUGGAAGCUUUUUGUUCCCAACUGGCAGUCUGGCCAGGUACUUCUCACCUGAGUCAGAAUUAGGCUGGCCUUCCUGGUUAUUUCCCUAAUUUAUUCAGGCCACAUAGUCUGUCCUUUGUUACCGAAGUCUCAGCCAGGGUUCCCCACUGUGCUUCACAGAUACCUGCUAAGUGCUGUACUUUAGAUAUAUAGUUUGGUCCAUAAAGAAACCAGAGGCCUUUUCCUCUUCUGGCUUGACAAGGAAAAAAAAAAGAAAAAAAAAAAAGAAAAAAAAUCAAACAGAUAGCGAUUGUUACAAGACUUACGAAAGAUUGAUGAGGUUUUAGAACUUGUGAGAGCAUUACAGCCAGUUUGCUUACUCCAACUGCCAUUUCAAGAUAGAUUUAGAGGACUGAUUUUAUACAAUUUGUUUACGUCCUGGCCAUUGUGAGUUUUCAUUUCAUGAGCUUGCUUAUAAUUUUAGAGAGCCCACAAAGUGAUAUCAUUAAAAAUUUUACAAAAGAAUGGCUAAUAGCCUUAUAUUAUGUGAUUUUGUCGCUUCUUCAAUGUAAGAAGUUAGAACCUUAAAUCUUUCAGUGUAUAUGGAAAUUUUUACUACAAACCUUUGCUCUCAAAAUGAGCUUUAAUAUUUGGGGAGUAGCUGUUACACUACUCCAGAAAAGAAUAUUUAAAGCUAAUUUUAAGCUUCUAAGGAUAUGUUAAUUGACUAAAUAUCUCACCUUACCAGAGGACUUAAGCCUUCCUUUGUUAUCCUCAUUGGAGAUAAAGCUUAAGUUGUGUUAAUACAGAAUUGUAGACUAGAGUCAUGGAAGUAUUUUAAAAAAGAAACCUGGUAAAACAUAUCUUAUUCCAAACAACAAUUAAAUUGGUUAUUACAAAAUGCUGAUAUUUGGCCUAUCACAUAUACAAAUCUCAGGCAAAAUUGAUAAUUUUACUCUUUGCAUGCUUUUGUAUUUCCUAUAAAUUUGUGCAUGCAACUCAUAGGAAAUGAGCUUACUAUAUUUAUAGGUGGUUCAUCUAAUGAAAAGGCUACAUAUAUGAUUGGAUCACUUGUUUAUUCUCUUCAGUUUCCCCUGCUUUAGCACAGAUUAUUAAAUUACGUGCUGUAGCCACUGUUUUAAAAAAAAAAUCGGGGCUGGGGAUUUAGCUCAGUGGUAGAGCACUUACCUAGGAAGCGCAAGGCCCUGGGUUCGGUCCCCAGCUCCGAAAAAAAAGAACCCCCCCAAAAAAAUCAAGCUUUUAAGUCAUAUACUGAUAGCCAAUGUAUGGCUUAUGGUUUACAGUUGAUUAAAAAGUUUCCCUUUUUAGAUACUACUAGCCCUCAAAUUAUAAAAAUGAUAAUGGAGUUGAUAACACACCCUCACAAAAAGAGGAAGACUCCAUUUGCUUACUUUCAAUGCCCAGCCUCACCCUGCCAACUCAGGGAUUUCUAGUAUGACUAAAUCUAGACAAUGUUUACAGGAGUUGACAUUUCUAAUUAAUGCUUAUGUUUAGGUAAAUAAAGCUGGUGAGGGGCUGGAGAGAUGGCUCAGUGGUUAAGAGCACUAAGUACUGUUCCUUUAUAGGCCAUUUAAGAAUUCAAACUGGAUUGCCUAGACCCCUUAGCAAGGGAGGACAAUGAUACCAGACAGAUUAUAGGCCUUACAUAGAAACAAUUAGUCAAAAAAUCUCAUUCUUUAUAUAUCCAAAACAAUAAUGCUAGAGAUAAUAAUUUGGUAUAAAAGUCAAUUUAUAAAUACAAGUGCUCAGUGUCCUCAAUUUAAUCCUCA